UUCCCUCUGCAGGGUUUGUGAUUGCCGGCAUCACAUGGAUCCCGAACAACUACGAACCCGGGGAGCCAUGACCGCUCGGUGAGCAGGCCGGGCCGGCCGUUUGGCCGGAUAAGCUCGGAAGCCUAAAGCGCGGUCAACGCUCCCCACCUAGCCGUUGGCUAGGGGUUCAUGCGUCCGACACACGACCCAUGCGGUAAGGAA
rnacentral:other from 1 species